GAUGAACGCUGGCGGCGUGCCUAAUACAUGCAAGUCGAGCGAACAGACGAGGAGCUUGCUCCUCUGACGUUAGCGGCGGACGGGUGAGUAACACGUGGAUAACCUACCUAUAAGACUGGGAUAACUUCGGGAAACCGGAGCUAAUACCGGAUAAUAUAUUGAACCGCAUGGUUCAAUAGUGAAAGACGGUUUUGCUGUCACUUAUAGAUGGAUCCGCGCCGCAUUAGCUAGUUGGUCAGGUAACGGCUUACCAAGGCAACGAUGCGUAGCCGACCUGAGAGGGUGGUCGGCCACACUGGAACUGAGACACAGUCCAGACUCCUACGGGAGGCAGCAGUAGGGAAUCUUCCGCAAUGGGCGAGAGCUUGACGGAGCAACGCCGCGGGAGUGAUGAAGGUCUUCGGAUCGUAAAACUCUGUUAUUAGGGAAGAACAAAUGUGUAAGUAACUAUGCACGUCUUGACGGUACCUAAUCAGAAAGCCACGGCUAACUACGUG
rnacentral:rRNA from 1 species